UCCUGGGUCUUUACCUCUUUAAGAGGGGACAGAAAGUAGAAUUUCUGAUGCAAUGAAGUUCGUUAUAACGGACACCAACAGGCGGGCCCUGAAUCUCCUGGAUUUCAAAUGGUUUAAAUGGAAAUAGGUUUUGAUGAAAGCAGAAAAUAUGGAGUGUGGGGCCCUGAAAAUGAGCACAGGAUGUCUUGAGGUUUUGGAGUGGAUAGUUCUCUCUGAAAUGCUGUAGGAAAAGGGCUCCAUGCAAAAUAAAGAUAUGAAAUCUGGGAUCAGAGAGAUUACAACAUUUCUUCAAGGAGUCAACAGUAGAUCUAGGAUGAAAAACAACCCAGUGUCUUCAUUCUUCACAACGCUGCCUUCUGAAAUAUACAUAAAGUGGAGAGCAUGAACUUCUAGUAGAGAUGACAGAGAUGUUAUGAGAGUAUAUAUUGUACGUUUUUAGAGCUCAUUUCUUUCAUGUGACAGAUUGAGAGAGAGAGAUAGCAAGACAGGCACCCCCAACAGGGUCUCAUAGUGUAUCAGCCAAUGUGAAUCACAGGCACGUGUGCCCAGAGUGCUCAGGGAGCUCCCAGGACAUGAACCCAGGACCGUUUCCAUGUGGGUCCAGUUGUGUUACUAUGACACCACCACUUGACCCCAAUGUCUAAGUAUUUUGGUUUGAGCAAUUGAAUGGUUUUCAUGAUACUUAUGGAGAUAACAAAAGUUGGAGGAAGAACAAAUUUGAUAGGAAAACUAUGAAUUCUGAUUGAAGUACAUUGUUUUAAAUAUCCUGCAAUCUUCCAAGUAAAGAGAUAAAGCAGCAGUUGGCUAUGAUCGCAAUCUCAAGAGGAAAGACGGGGCUGGAAAAAUAAAUUUUAUGUGUUAUUUGAAACAUGUAUAUGAGAUUGGACACAAUUGCCUACUGCAAAAUUAUACAUAGAGAAGAGAUGUGAUUUUCUGGCAGUAAGGAAAGCUAGAGCUUCUGAAAUUCAUGUCUCAUGACAUCUAAAAAUACUCAAC